rnacentral:rRNA from 1 species
GUCCCAGACUCCUACGGGAGGCAGCAGCGGGGAAUAUUGGGCAAUGGGCGCAGGCCUGACCCAGCAACGCCGCGUGAAGGAAGAAGGCUUUCGGGUUGUAAACUUCUUUUCUCGGGGACGAAGAAAGUGACGGUACCCGAGGAAUAAGCCACGGCUAACUACGUGCCAGCAGCCGCGGUAAUACGUAGGUGGCAAGCGUUAUCCGGAUUUAUUGGGUGUAAAGGGCGUGUAGGCGGGAGCGCAAGUCAGAUGUGAAAACUCAGGGCUCAACCCUGAGCCUGCAUUUGAAACUGUGUUUCUUGAGUGCUGGAGAGGCAAUCGGAAUUCCGUGUGUAGCAGUGAAAUGCGUAGAUAUACGGAGGAACACCAGUGGCGAAGGCGGAUUGCUGGACAGUAACUGACGCUGAGGCGCGAAAGCGUGGGGAGCAAACAGGAUUAGAUACCCUCGUA